rnacentral:rRNA from 1 species
UACGUAGGGUGCAAGCGUUAUCCGGAAUUAUUGGGCGUAAAGAGCUCGUAGGCGGUUUGUCGCGUCUGCUGUGAAAACGCGGGGCUCAACUCCGCGCCUGCAGUGGGUACGGGCAGACUAGAGUGCAGUAGGGGAGACUGGAAUUCCUGGUGUAGCGGUGGAAUGCGCAGAUAUCAGGAGGAACACCGGUGGCGAAGGCGGGUCUCUGGGCUGUAACUGACGCUGAGGAGCGAAAGCGUGGGUAGCGAACAGG